CACCGAGAAGGUUUUGGCAACGUACCACUGGUCCACUAUGCGGGAGGACGUGAAGAAAUGGGUUGAUGAGUGUCCCCGCUGCCAGCAACACGAGGUCAUUAAAACGGUUGCACCCGUACUGCAUCCCAUUCAUGUUCCCGAGGCAUGGACUGUCCUUGGUGUGGAUCUCAUUGGCCCACUUCCCUCCACUGCUAAGGGCAAAAGAUACAUUCUAACAGCGACUGAUCUGUUCACAAAGUGGGUGGUAGCAAAAACGCUCUACCACAAAACAGCUGUUGAGGUCUCAAAAAAGAUUGUAAAUAUUCUUCUCGAUUUCGGUCUUGUCGAGAAGAUCAUUA